AUACGGAGGAUCCGAGCGUUAUCCGGAUUUAUUGGGUUUAAAGGGUGCGCAGGCGGCCAUUUAAGUCAGCGGUUAAAUCGUGGGGCUCAACCCCAUUCUGCCGUUGAUACUGGGUGGCUUGAUUGCGGUCGAGGUUGGCGGAAUUCGUUGUGUAGCGGUGAAAUGCAUAGAUAUGACGAAGAACACCGAUUGCGUAGGCAGCUGACCAGACCGCAAAUGACGCUCAUGCACGAAAGUGCGGGGAUCGAACAGGAUUAGAUACCCUGGUAGUCCGCACAGUAAACAAUGAAUACUUGUUUUCGGCGAUAUAAUGUCGGAGGCAAAGCGAAAGCGAUAAGUAUUCCACCUGGGGAGUACGCCGGCAACGGUGAAACUCAAAGGAAUUGGCGGGG
rnacentral:rRNA from 1 species